rnacentral:rRNA from 1 species
GAUGAACGCUGGCGGCGUGCCUAAUACAUGCAAGUCGAGCGAACAGACGAGGAGCUUGCUCCUCUGACGUUAGCGGCGGACGGGUGAGUAACACGUGGAUAACCUACCUAUAAGACUGGGAUAACUUCGGGAAACCGGAGCUAAUACCGGAUAAUAUAUUUAACCGCAUGGUUCAAUAGUGAAAGACGGUUUUGCUGUCACCUAUAGAUGGAUCCCCGCCGCAUUAGCUAGUUGGUAAGGUAACGGCUUACCAAGGCGACGAUGCGUAGCCGACCUGAGAGGGUGAUCGGCCACACUGGAACUGAGACACGGUCCAGACUCCUACGGGAGGCAGCAGUAGGGAAUCUUCCGCAAUGGGCGAAAGCCUGACGGAGCAACGCCGCGUGAGUGAUGAAGGUCUUCGGAUCGUAAAACUCUGUUAUUAGGGAAGAACAAAUGUGUAAGUAACUAUGCACGUCUUGACGGUACCUAAUCAGAAAGCCACGGCUAACUACGUG